CCUACGGGUGGCAGCAGUGAGGAAUAUUGGUCAAUGGCCGAGAGGCUGAACCAGCCAAGCCGCGUGAGGGAAGACGGCUCUAUGGGUUGUAAACCUCUUUUGUCGGGGGGCAAAGAGAGUCACGUGUGACUGAUUGAAAGUAUCCGAAGAAAAAGCAUCGGCUAACUCCGUGCCAGCAGCCGCGGUAAUACGGAGGAUGCGAGCGUUAUCCGGAUUUAGUGGGUUAAAAGGGUGCGUAGGCGGAGGUGUAAGUCAGCGGUCAAAUUGCGGGGCUCAACCCCGUACUGCCGUUUAUACUGCAUCCCUAGAGAGCACGAGAGGUAUGCGGAAUGCGUGGUGUAGCGGUGAAAUGCAUAGAGAUCACACAGAACUCCGAUUGCGAAGGCAGCAUAC
rnacentral:rRNA from 1 species